GACGAACGCUGGCGGCGUGCUUAACACAUGCAAGUCGAACGGAAAGGCCCUGCUUUUGUGGGGUGCUCGAGUGGCGAACGGGUGAGUAACACGUGAGUAACCUGCCCUUGACUUUGGGAUAACUUCAGGAAACUGGGGCGAAUACCGGAUAGGAGCUCCUGCUGCAUGGUGGGGGUUGGAAAGUUUCGGCGGUUGGGGAUGGACUCGGGGCUUAUCAGCUUGUUGGUGGGGUAGUGUCUUACCAAGGCUUUGACGGGUAGCCGGCCUGAGAGGGUGACCGGCCACAUUGGGACUGAGGUACGGCCCAGACUCCUACGGGAGGCAGAAGUGGGGAAUAUUGCACAAUGGGCGGACGCCUGAUGCAGCAACGCCGCGUGCGGGAUGACGGCCUUCGGGUUGUAAACCGCUUUCGCCUGUGACGAAGCGUGAGUGACGGUAAUGGGUAAAGAAGCACCGGCUAACUACGUG
rnacentral:rRNA from 1 species